GACGAACGCUGGCGGCGUGCUUACCACAUGCAAGUCGAACGGAAAGGCCCUGCUUUUGUGGGGUUCUCGCGUGGCGAACGGGUGAGUAACACGUGUGUAACCUGCCCUUGACUUUGGGAUAACUUCAGGAAACUGGGGCUAAUACCGGAUAGGAUCUCCUGCUUCAUGGUGGGGGUUGGAAAGUUUCGGCGGUUGGGGAUGGACUCGCGGCUUUUCAGCUUGUUUGUGUGGUAGUGGCUUACCAAGGCUUUGACGGGUAGCCGGCCUGAGAGGGUGACCGGGAAAAAAGGGAAAGGGAGAAGGAACAGAGAACGACGGGAGGCAGCAGGGGGGAAGAGAGCAGAAAGGGGGGAAGCGUGAGGAAAAAACGGCGGGUGGGGGAAGACGGGCAACGGGUUGUAAAAGGGUAGCGGAUGAGAAGAAGGGGGAGUGACGGUAAUGGGAAAAGAAGCACCGGCUAACUACGUG
rnacentral:rRNA from 1 species